UACAGAGGGGGCAAGCGUUGUUCGGAAUUACUGGGCGUAAAGGGCGCGUGGGCGGCCUGCUAAGUCGAACGUGAAAUCCCCGGGCUCAACCCGGGAACUGCGUCCGAUACUGGCAGGCUUGAAUCCGGGAGAGGGAUGUGGAAUUCCAGGUGUAGCGGUGAAAUGCGUAGAUAUCUGGAGGAACACCGGUGGCGAAGGCGGCAUCCUGGACCGGCAUUGACGCUGAGGCGCGAAAGCCAGGGGAGCAAACGGG
rnacentral:rRNA from 1 species